rnacentral:rRNA from 1 species
CAAUAGCGUAUAUUAAAGUUGUUGCAGUUAAAAAGCUCGUGGUUGGAUUUGUGGCGUACGGUGUGUUCCGGGCACUUGUUGUCUGAGUAACCUGCUGUUGCCAUCCUUGGGUGGAACCUGUGUGGCAUUAGGUUGUCGUGCAGGGGAUGCCCAUCAUUUACUGUGAAAAAAUUAGAGUGUUCAAAGCAGGCUUAUGCCGUUGAAUAUAUUAGCAUGGAAUAAUGAGAUAGGACUUUUUUGCUAUUUUGUUGGUUUGCGCAAAGAGGUAAUGAUUAAUAGGGACAGUUGGGGGUAUUCGUAUCCCAUUGUCAGAGGUGAAAUUCUUGGAUUUUUGGAAGACGAACUACUGCGAAAGCAUUUACCAAGGAUGUUUUCAUUAA